UUUAAUACCUCAUGCAUAACUUUCAAACCUUUCUGAUCUCUGAUUUCCCUAACCAUUAACAGACUGAGUGAGCAGUCUUCUUCCCCUUCCUUUUUGCUUCAUUUGGAUGCAAAUCAUUGGCCUGGACUCCCCCCGCCCCCCUCAGGUUUUGAAACGUGAGCAGAUUCAGGUAGAAGGAGGUUAUCUGGGACCAAUAUGUGGAAGACUGGAACAGGGUGGUUAUUCGUGUGGAUUUACAACACCCUGGCCAGCAGCUGAACUCAUGCCUUCACUGAUAGCGGAGCUUCUGCCCACUAGAUUGCAGAUUGAAAACCAAGCAAGCAUAUGACGGCAAGAACAUUAAUUUCGUCUUCCAUGGCCUGCCCGAAAAACAAAUAAAUGGAUUUUUGAGCAAAUUAAGCCAAAGCGGUCUUUGGAAGGCCAAGUGACUCGACUUAGGUUAGCAUAUUUUGGACACAAAAUCAGGAGGACUAGUUCUCCACCUGCCACCUUCCUGCUAUGUGAUCUUAGGCGAGUCAUUUAACUUCUCUGUGCCUCAUUUUCCUCAGAUGAUAAUGGGGAUUUAAUACCUGUAAUUUGCCGGUGAGCCCCAUGGGGAUCAAGGCCUAUAUCUGGCCUGAUUAACCGAUUAACUGGGGAAGAUGAACGUUAAUUUAUAUUCCCCAUCUGAAAAAUGGGAAUUCAAUAGCUGUUCUCUCUCCUACUCAGACUGUAAGGUCCAUGUGGGACAGGGAUUGCGUCUGAGCAGUUUAUCUAAUCUGAGAAGACACUAAUGCUAGGAAAAGUCCAGGGAAAACACGGAUGAGCAGACCGGCAACCAGAUGGAUAGAGACCGUAACACCGGUAACGGAAGGACCGUUAGCAAGAUUUCGGAUUCUGGCAGAAGACAGGACGUUCUGGAGAAAAUAGAUCCGUAGAAUCGCCGUGAAUCGGAAACGACUCGACAGCACUUGAUAAUAAUAAUAAUUCCUCUUUUCUGGGCCUAAGCUCUUUUACAAUGACAUCUAGUGGCUAAGUAAAUAUUAUGUCCCAUCAAUGGGGCCAUCAGGUCCAAACGUUAGCACUGCGCUGGACUGUUCUGUCGGUCUAGGAACGGCUGCGAUGGAUUGUCUCAGGCGGUGACGGAGAAUUCACUCCAUGCCUCGGAGGUGGGGUGUCCUGGGAGAGAUGUGUCCAUGGCGUCGCUCUGGGUCGGAGAUGACUCGACGGCAUAAGAGAAGACAAGAAGGAUAGGAAUAAUAAUGCUAACGACAUUUAAGCACUUACUGUGUGUCAAGCACUGUUCUAAGUGCUGGGGUAGAUAGAAAUUAAUCGGGUAGGACGGAGUCCCUGUCCCACUGGGGGCUCACUGUCUAAAUAGGCGGGAGAACAGAUAUUGAAUCCCUAAAGUCGAGGAAACUGAGGCAAAGAGUAGUUAAGUGACUAGGCCAAUGUCAGAGAACAAGCAAGUGGCAGAGCCAGGAUUAAAAAUGAGGUGCUCUGACUUCUAGACCCCUGUUUUUUCCACUAAACCAUGCUACCACCUAUGCAUUCCCUCGCAGGAUUUAAUACUCGUACUCGUCACAUGGUAAGUGCUAAAUAAAUUCUCCCUCCACCAAGAGAUAUUUAAUAAUAAUAAUAAUGUUGGUAUUUGUAAAGUGCUUACUAUGUGUAGAGCACUGUUCUAAGCUCUGGGGUAGGUACAGGGUAAUCUGGUCGUCCCACGUGAGGCUCAC
rnacentral:lncRNA from 1 species